rnacentral:rRNA from 1 species
UGGGGAAUUUUGGACAAUGGGCGAAAGCCUGAUCCAGCAAUGCCGCGUGUGUGAAGAAGGCCUUCGGGUUGUAAAGCACUUUUGUCCGGAAAGAAAUCCUUGGCUCUAAUACAGUCGGGGGAUGACGGUACCGGAAGAAUAAGCACCGGCUAACUACGUGCCAGCAGCCGCGGUAAUACGUAGGGUGCAAGCGUUAAUCGGAAUUACUGGGCGUAAGCGUGCGCAGGCGGUUUGCUAAGACCGAUGUGAAAUCCCCGGGCUCAACCUGGGAACUGCAUUGGUGACUGGCAGGCUAGAGUAUGGCAGAGGGGGGUAGAAUUCCACGUGUAGCAGUGAAAUGCGUAGAGAUGUGGAGGAAUACCGAUGGCGAAGGCAGCCCCCUGGGCCAAUACUGACGCUCAUGCACGAAAGCGUGGGGAGCAAACAGGAUUAGAUACCCUGGUAGUCCACGCCCUAAACGAUGUCAACUAGUUGUUGGGGAUUCAUUUCCUUAGUAACGUAGCUAACGCGUGAAGUUGACCGCCUGGGGAGUACGGUCGCAAGAUUAAAACUUAAAGGAAUUGACGGGGUCAUAGCUGUUU